GGGCAUGUGGUGUAACCUGGACAGCAUCGGACGCUUCGAACGUCUCGGGUCGGGGUUCGAAUCCUCGCGUGCCCG
rnacentral:tRNA from 1 species